GACGAACGCUGGCGGCGUGCCUAAUACAUGCAAGUCGAACGCAGUGGGGACGGGAGAGUAACACGUGGGUAACCUCCCAUCAGAGGGGAUAACACUUGGAAACACGUGCUAAACCGAUACUGAUGGAUGGUACCGCGGUGCAUUAGUUAGUUGGUGAGGGAACGGCUCACCAAGGCAACGAUGCAUAGCCGUCCUGAGAGGGUGAUCGGCCACACUGGGACUGAGACACGGCCCAGACUCCUACGGGAGGCAGCAGUAGGGAAUAUUCGGCAAUGGACGAAAGUCUGACCGAGCAACGCCGCGUGAGUGAAGAAGGUUUUCGGGUCGUAAAGCUCUGUUGUUAGAGAAGCGGUAUCUAACCAGAAAGCAACGGCUAACUCCGUGCCAGCCGCCGCGGUAAUUC
rnacentral:rRNA from 1 species